rnacentral:rRNA from 1 species
UGAGCAAUCUGCCCUUCUCUUCGGAAUAAGCGUUGGAAACGACGUCUAAUGCCGAAUACGACCUCCUUUCGCAUGAUCGGAGGUGGAAAGCUCCGGCGGAGAAGGAUGAGCUCGCGGCCUAUCAGCUAGUUGGUGUGGGUAAUGGCCCACCAAGGCGACGACGGGUAGCCGGCCUGAGAGGGUACGCCG